UCCGGCUUGUCACCGGCAGUUCCUCCAGAGUGCCCGACCCUACUCGCUGGCAACUGGAGGCGAGGGUUGCGCUCGUUGCGGGACUUAACCCAACACCUCACGGCACGAGCUGACGACAGCCAUGCAGCAUCUGUGCACCCUCUCGCCUUGACGAGUCGUUCCCCUUUCAGGGUCCUACUUGGUGCAUGUCAAGCCUAGGUGAGGUUCUGCGCGUUGCAUCGAAUUAAACCACACGCUCCGCUGCUUGUGCGGGCCCCCGUCAAUUCCUUUGAGUUUCAGCCUUGCGGCCGUACUCCCCAGGCGGGACACUUACUGCGUUAGCGACGGCACCGGGAGGGUCGCUCCCCCCGACGCCUAGUGUCCAUCGUUUACGGCGUGGACUAC
rnacentral:misc_RNA from 1 species